UUCUAAGACUGUGGGCAUCUGCAGAGACAGUGACGUCACCAUGGGAACUGCCAAUGAGGACACGGUCCACCCGUCCUCCUCUGCUCCUGCUCACAAGGACCCUGAGCUGCUGGACCUCCCAUCGCUGCCCUGACCCUGCCAUGGGCACCAGGCUCCUCUGCUGGGCGACCCUCUGUCUCUUGGGGGCAGAACUCACAGAAGGUGGAGUCGCCCAGUCCCCCAGACAUAAGAUCACAGAGGAAAGACAGGCUGUGGCUUUGUGGUGUGAUCCUAUUUCUGGCCACAGUUUCCUUUACUGGUACCGGCAGACCUUGGAACAGGACCUGGAGCUACUGAUUCUCUUUGAGGAAACGGCAGGAAUAAAUGUUUUACAGUCACCUAAGAAUCGAUUUUCUGCAGAGAGGCCCAGCGGAGCAAACUCCACUCUCAAGAUCCAGUCUGCAGAGCUCGGGGACUCGGCUGUGUAUUUGUGUGCCAGCAGCUUAGCCAUAGCUUUGCAGACACCCCUCCUUCCUGUGCACAAACCUCAUGAUCCUCCCUCUCUCUGGAGCUCACGGCAGCUCGAGACAGAGGCCACCCCUUACUCCUCAUCACGCAAGGAGAAGAGGUUGCAGAGACCAUCUAUGACACAUCCACAGGGAGGACACGUAUGA